GGAGAGCGAGGAGCGGAGGAGGGGAGGUCACGGCGCUGUCGGAGACUCUUGGUCUCCCUCUGCCUUUUAGUGACGGGGUUCAGAGAGCUGGGUGGGCGGCGGCUUGUGCGAGCCAUAGCGAGGUGGGCCCCGGGCAUCUUUGUGCAGUACCUGUGAGCCACGUUACUGUUUAUCUUGCAAAAGUUAACAAAUCUCUCUUAAGCCCGCACAGCGCUUGGGUGAGCCCGUCCAUUCGUCUUGACUUGAAUUGUAAGUGACUGCAAAUCUUUAUUUCCAGCCCAGCAAUCUCUCCUGAGCUAUCGAGUCGCUAUCCAUCUGCCCCUUUGGUUAUCGAUUUGGGAUUUACUCAUUCAACAUUUAUUGCACGUUCUCCGUGUACCAGGCAUCUUGCGCCCCCCCCCCCCAGCUCCCCCUACUGCUGUGUGACCUCAGCAAGUGACUGACAGACUGCGAUGAAGCUUAAAUAGUGAAGUCCCCUUUCACAGAUGAGGAGACUGAGUCACUUGCUCUAGACCACAAACUCAAAAGUGACACAGCUGGUUUGGACUUUCAAGCUCAUGCUAUUAAAUACCUUGCCAAUUCAACGAGGGCGUCUUACCUGCUGUAGCCCUAAGUCUGACUGGGGAAACUGAGAACCAAAGAGGGGAAACUAUCCAUCUAAGGCCACACGCCCUGACUGACAGCAGAGGGAGGGCCAGAGCCUGGGCCUUCUGUGCUUUGAACACCUCCAAGUUUUAGGUCACGGAAAUUGUACUUCUCAGUCAUUGGCAUCAGCCCAGUGGACAGAGGAGAAGACUGGCGGGGCAAGGCACACCCCUGGGCCAACGCCACACAGCUAGUAAGCACUGGAGCUGGGAUUUGAACCCGGUUACGACAGAUUGCCAGAAAUGGCCAGGUUCCCUCCUUCCUUGGAUGCACACUCCGCUGCCUGGUGGCUUGGCCGCUUCUCCCAGUGACAGCUGGAGUCUUUCUCAGCCCCCACCCGAAUCCGACCGGGCCUUGUGACUUGCUUGGACCCACAGACCAUGAGAGUUUGGAGAGUCCAGGCCUUGAGGGGCCCUGCAGCUUCCACUCCAGGAGGGGGUGCCUGAUACCAGUAUAGUCUCUGAAGGGGUAGGAGCCACAGAGAGCAGAGGUGGGACAGCCCAGGGACGCCCCCUGGACUGACCCUAUCCAAUAGGAUAGCCAUCUGGCCAUGAGGGGCUCUAUACAUUUAAUUAAAAUGAACGAAAAUGUAAGAUUCCAUUCCGCAGUCAUGCUGGCCCCAGCUGGAGCGCUCAGCAGCUACACAGGGCUAGCGGCCGUGGUGCUGGUCAGCGCGCACACGGGACACCAUCAUCAGCGCAGACAGCUCUGCCGGCCAGCGCUGCAGAAGCAAUCAGCUGGAAGCCAGACAGGUGCUGCUAGGAGCCUACCACCCGGCAGAGGCGACAUGGGUCCGGGAAGGCCUUCCAGCAAGGCAGGGGGUAACAUGAUGAGCACAAAGGAGGUGGCCUGAGGCUGAGCAGCUGUGGUCCAACAGACAGAAGGCUGGCACCGCCCUGCUGUGUUACUGUGGACCCACUACUCACCUCUCUCCGAACAGUAACAGCCCCUUGCUAGUGUCUGUGCUCCCCUGGGGCUGCCUGUAGCCCUCUCCUGCGUCCCACAAAGCAGCCAGAGGGCCACGUGGCACACGCACUUGACACAGGCUACUGCUCUACACAAACACUUCUGUGGCUCCCUGCUGCCCCAACAGAGCCCAGGCACCCCCCCAGCCCCGAGUCUUCUGGUCCCCACUGGCCUCUCUGCCCCACCUGACACCGCUGCCCACAGCUCCCCAUGGCUCCGGCUUCGGGGGCCUCCCUCCCCUCCUCUCGUGCCCAAGUGCCCUCUGGUCUUAGGGACCAGCCUGGAAUGCCUCCCACUCCUUUCAGGUCUCAGCUCAAAGGUCACCUCCUCCAGGGAGCCUCCCAGGCACCAUAGCCCCCUUCAUUUGCUUUUCUGUCGGUUCGAUCUGUAUUCCGUUCUUUGCCCUUGGAAUUCCUUGUCCUGUGCUGCCUCCACCAAGACGGCAAAGGUCCCAUCAGAAUUUGUCACCUCGGGCGCCUGGGUGGCUCAGUUGGUUAAGCAACUGCCUUUGGCUCAGGUCAUGAUCCUGGAGUCCCGGGACUGAGUCCCACAUCGGG